rnacentral:rRNA from 1 species
UGUGGCUAAUCACGCUGUGCGUCUGAGAUAGACCGCUACUCGGCAGAGCGCGUAUACGAGUGCAGCGUUAUCGAAUACUGGCGUAAGCGUGCGCAGCGGUGAUUAGUUGAUGUGAAUCCCGGGCUUAACCUGGAACUGCAUUGAAUACUGGUCAGCUAGAGUGUGUCAGAGGGGGGUAGAAUUCCACGUGUAGCAGUGAAAUGCGUAGAGAUGUGGUGGAAUACCGAUGGCGAAGGCAGCCCCCUGGGAUAACACUGACGCUCAUGCACGAAAGCGUGGGGAGCAAACAGGAUUAGAUACCCUGGUAGUCCACGCCCUAAACGAUGUCUACUAGUUGUCGGGUCUUAAUUGACUUGGUAACGCAGCUAACGCGUGAAGUAGACCGCCUGGGGAGUACGGUCGCAAGAUUAAAACUCAAAGGAAUUGACGGGGACCCGCACAAGCGGUGGAUGAUGUGGAUUAAUUCGAUGCAACGCGAAAAACCUUACCUACCCUUGACAUGGCAGGAAUCCUGAAGAGAUUUGGGAGUGCUCGCAAGAGAACCUGCACACAGGUGCUGCAUGGUUGUCGUCAGCUCGUGUCGUGAGAUGUUGGGUUAAGUCCCGCAACGAGC